AGUGAACGCUGGCGGUAGGCCUAACACAUGCAAGUCGAACGGCAGCACAGUAAGAGCUUGCUCUUACGGGUGGCGAGUGGCGGAUGGGUGAGGAAUACAUCGGAAUCUACUUUUUCGUGGGGGAUAACGUAGGGAAACUUACGCUAAUACCGCAUACGACCUACGGGUGAAAGCAGCGGAUCUUCGGACCUUGCGCGAUUGAAUGAGCUGAUGUCGGAUUAGCUAGUUGGCGGGGUAAAGGCCCACCAAGGCGACGAUCCGUAGCUGGUCUGAGAGGAUGAUCAGCCACACUGGAACUGAGACACGGUCCAGACUCCUACGGGAGGCAGCAGUGGGGAAUAUUGGACAAUGGGCGCAAGCCUGAUCCAGCCAUACCGCGUGGGUGAAGAAGGCCUUCGGGUUGUAAAGCCCUUUUGUUGGGAAAGAAAAGCAGCAGGUUAAUACCCCGCUGUUCUGACGGUACCCAAAGAAUAAGCACCGGCUAACUUCGUG
rnacentral:rRNA from 1 species